UACGUAGGGUGCAAGCGUUAAUCGGAAUUACUGGGCGUAAAGCGUGCGCAGGUCGGUUGUGCAAGACCGAUCGUGAAAUCCCCGGGCGUUAACCUGGGAAUGGCAUUGGUGACUGCACGGCUAGAGUGUGUCAGAGGGGGUAGAAUUCCACGUGUAGCAGUGAAAUGCGUAGAUAUCAGGAGGAAUACCGAUGGCGAAGGCAGGUCUCUGGGCUGACACUGACGCUCGAUGACA
rnacentral:rRNA from 1 species